rnacentral:rRNA from 1 species
UACGUAGGGAGCAAGCGUUGUCCGGAUUUAUUGGGCGUAAAGAGCUCGUAGGCGGCUUGGUAAGUUGGAUGUUAAAUCUCCAGGCUCAACCUGGAGUCGCCAUCCGAUACUGCCAUGGCUAGAGUCCGGUAGGGGCCCACGGAACUCCUGGUGUAGCGGUGAAAUGCGCAGAUAUCAGGAAGAACACCGGUGGCGAAGGCGGUGGGCUGGGCCGGUACUGACGCUGAGGAGCGAAAGCGUGGGGAGCGAACAGG